rnacentral:rRNA from 1 species
UACAUAGGGUGCAAGCGUUAAUCGGAAUUACUGGGCGUAAAGCGUGCGCAGGCGGUUUUUUAAGUCAGAUGUGAAAUCCCCGGGCUUAACCUGGGAACUGCGUUUGAAACUACAAGGCUAGAGUGUGGCAGAGGGGGGUGGAAUUCCACGUGUAGCAGUGAAAUGCGUAGAGAUGUGGAGGAACACCGAUGGCGAAGGCAGCCCCCUGGGUUAACACUGACGCUCAGGCACGAAAGCGUGGGGAGCAAACAGG